GUACUCGCUUCGGCAGCACAUAUACUAAAAUUGGAACGACACAAAGAGGAUUAGCAUGGUCCCUGCACAAGGAUGACAUGGAAAGUCAUGAAGCAUUCCAUAUUUUU
rnacentral:snRNA from 1 species